rnacentral:tRNA from 1 species
CGGGCUGUAAUUUAAUUGGAAAAAUGGCAUCCUGUCAAGAUGGUUACGCAGGUUCGAUUCCUGUCAGCCUGU